rnacentral:lncRNA from 1 species
CUUCCAGGGAAUCCGCUCACAGUUCCUUGGCACAACAAUCUGUGGCACCCAGACUUACUGGGAACUGCUGGAGCACAAUGUGCGUGUGCUUCCCUAGUCAAGGGAGAGAACUUUCUGCCUUCAAAUGUUAGCAGAAACCUGGAUUCCUCUAGUGGGGAGAAUAGGAGGCUAAAGCAAUAAACAAACGGAUAGACGGAGGAACGCUGUGCAUUGUGGGUGUCUGAUGCAUCAUCCUCUGAGGUGGGUGAGAGAUGCUUUCUCCUUUCUACGACCCAGGAUCAGAGGCAAGGAAAGCACCAAGAGCACACACUAAGAUGUUUUCAAAGGUAUUGGCACCCUCUGUCACCUAAAGUGCAAAAGGAAGCAGUCCCCUUCACUUUCUAGAUGGUCCCUGCUGGACAUCGGGGCUCCCCACACUGCUGUGAGCCACUCCCUCUGCUCUGGCAAGGUGUCACUCCUCAGAUAGGUGCCCUGACUCUCCUGUGUCAACUGCAGCAGGCUAAUAGCAUCAGCCUUUUCUCUUCAUCAUCCAAGCACAGUUGUGCCUACACACUGGUAUUUUCCAUCCCCAUCUAUUCUGCUAUGAUGAUCUUCACUAUAGUUCGCUUUAAGCGUUUCACAGAGUUCACAGCCAC